GACCCCUGCCCCGAGAGCUCCCUAUGCUGCGGGGCAGUCAAAAAUAGGAGGAAAAAAAAAGAAAAGAAAAGAAAAAAAGACCAGAGAAUCGUAACUGGUGAGUCUCACGCAUGCGCAAUCAGAAGACUGGUCCUUAAGACCUGAAAGACUGGCUUCCUGUAAAUGCCCCCUUUACAGAAGACGGAGACUUAUCCCCUGACCAAUGAACAUCUACCAUGAAUCUCCUCAUUCUCAAGCCAAUGAACUUACAGCUUACUGAACUUACCAGCUGCUGGAAUUCCCGCUCCUUGUGCUCCUCACGCAUAAAUACAGCCUACGGUGCCUGCAUACGCCGUCUUCCAAGCCCUCCAGAGAGAUGGCUUCUUAGCUGCUACGUCGGGUGUUCUGGGGUUGCAAUUCUUCUGCUCUCCCGCAAAAAACCUCACUUUCAGUGGCCAUACCCAUGGCAUAUGGAAGAUCUUUAAUCCCACCGUGCUGGGCUGGAAAUCAAAUCCACACCUACACAGCCACCUGAGCUAAUGCAGUUGGAUUCUUAACCUAUUGCAUCAUGGCGGGAACUACAGGUUUAAAACCCACACUGAUGAGAGUUGCUUCGAUGUCAAAUGGAAGAAGUUCUCCACCCUGAGGUUUUACCAAAACUCAAGGUCACUGCCAGAAAACUCACCAAAAAUGGAAGAUGGGCACUCAAGUUCAUCACUGUCACAGAAUACUAAAGUAGAGCUUAAAUGAUAACAAUGGAAAAUCUAACACUUAUGAAACACUCACUGGGAACCAGGCACUUUCUAAGGAUUCUAUAUAUAUUUGAACCUUGAAUUCUCAAAAACAAUUUUGUAGCAUAUGCUGUCAUCGUCUCCACAUUACAGUUGAGAAAGUGAGACAUCUUCUCAAGGUCCCACAGAAACCAAAUGGAAGAACCAAAGGCACCUGACUUCACGUUUCACAACCUAGGCGAUCUGACCUGUCAUAUGGCACAAUUGCUGAGAAGGGGCCAUCACCUCAUCAUAUGUGCAGGACAUAAUCUGUAACCUGUGCAGUGAAGUGCGGUACCCCUUAGGGUCAGUGAUAAGAGGAAGAAGAAUAGAGAUGGAGAAGGUACAGCCAGGGUGAUAAUAAAUUAAUAAAGCUAGUCGUGAAAGCCAAGAGCAGAAAGAAUUUCAACUGGUCAAACAGUAAAUCCUGCUGAUGGGUUGGGUGAGCUCUAAACACAACUCUGAUCAUUGGAUUAGAGACAGAAUAGACAAAGUUGGCAGUCUUGUCAAAGCCAGUCCUACUAAAGUGACAGGAGCCUUAGUGAAGUGAAUUGGUCAGAGAAAACAAUGCAGGAAGGAAUAUAGCAAAGGAUCAAGUCUGGAGGCCAUUGUGGGAUCAUGGGAGGAUCAAUGACAGGCUUCUUAGUAGCUGUUUGUAAUUAUAGACCAAAUCGGACAUGGGCAUUUACAUUCAGCUCACAAACAAAGCACAGCAAGAUGACUGGUCUUGAGUGAAAUGAGAGCAGCGUGACACAUAAAUCAGCAAAUCAGACACACAAAAAAAGACAACAGAUCAGUCAAAGAACAAUGUCCUCAAGCUACAGAACACCUGGGAAAUAAAAGAAGAGUCAUGAAUCUGACGUGCAGUUAAACAGUGAAACCACUCCCACAGAGAACAUGCCACAGAGAAAAGUAACUGAAUUAAUCCCCAGAGAGGCACAAAGAACACCUGGACCACCAGUUACUUAGGAAGAAGAUAUACAAGUGUAGGGGAAAUUCUGUCUGCAGAAAAUGAUUUGUAAUCUUAUAGAAGUGACACGGCAAAAUGAAGUCUAAAUAUCUACCAAGAAAAACAUCCUGGCAAGGAAAUACCAACUGAUUUAAAUAGAACGGAUGCAUAAAUAAAACAUGUUGGAAAGAUGUUUAUCAA